rnacentral:lncRNA from 1 species
CUUCAGUAAACAAAUCUUAACCUUCACAUAAAAUCCACUCAUGUUAAUUAACUCAUUGGAACUUUUUACAAACUACCACAUCACCAAGAUCAAGAAGAGAAAUGACAUACCAGGGAAUUAUAAACCAUUUGUUAGUGGGACAUUCAAAUACUUGUGUUGGAUCUAAAGAAAUCUGCAAUCAAAACAUUACCGAAACAGCAGUUAUUAAUUUCAUGGACUCGGAAAAGGUGAAAACUUUGCAACAAAAUGAACCAAAUACAAAUGAUAAACUGAAAGAUUUUAUCAAACAGAUAAUACGUGAAAAAUCAAAACCUAUGGUGUCCAAAUAUAAAUUACGAAAACGCAGGAACAGGAAACCAGUGAAACACCUUCAUCUGAAACCUUCUAUUCCACUUCCUGAUUCAGUGAAAAAUAAUGAAAAAAUUAUCACACCAGCUACUGCCAAGAAAUAUAUACAGAUGCUUCGUAUGUAUUAUGAACAGAAUGGUAUGAUGGACUGCUUUAUACGUAAUCCACUGAAUGAACUAGAGGAACACAUAGACCAAGAAAUGCUUCCGUUAAAACAUGAUCCUAGACAGAAGAAGAUCACAGACUUCUUUGAAAAACUGAGGAAACCAUCUUUCAAACUGUGAAGUGUCAUCAAUUUUGUUCGUAAUCCACUUAAUGAACUAGAGGAACACAUAGACCGAGAAAUGCUUCCGUUAAAACAAGAUCCUAGACAGAAGAACUUAGAAGAUUACAGAAUUCUUUGAAAAACUAAAGGAACCCUCUUUCAAACUUUAAUUAUCACUAGUGCAACUUAGGACAGACUUCAUCAUAGGUAUUUAUCAAAUUAUUUUUAUGUAUGCUUAUCAAUAAGUCUCCAGUUAUAGGAACUGUGUCAUCUGUUAAAUUGUACUUUUACUUGAACUAUACAAUUAGUUCUUUGACAAUAAAUAUAGUGCUGUACAUUGACAAUAAAUGUGAAAAUAACC